rnacentral:rRNA from 1 species
AUACGGAGGAUGCAAGCGUUAAUCGGAAUUACUGGGCGUAAAGCGCACGCAGGCGGCUUUUUAAGUCGGAUGUGAAAGCCCCGGGCUCAACCUGGGAAUUGCAUCUGAUACUGGGAAGCUAGAGUAUGUGAGAGGGGGGUAGAAUUCCAAGUGUAGCGGUGAAAUGCGUAGUGAUUUGGAGGAAUACCAGUGGCGAAGGCGGCCCCCUGGCGAAAUACGGACGCUCAGGUACAAAAGCGUGGGGAGCAACGAGAAUUAUAUACCCGGGAAGUCCACGCCGUAAACGAUGUCUACUAGAUGUUCGUGGUCUUGUACCGUGAGUAGCGCAGCUAACGCAUUAAGUAGACCGCCUGGGGAGUACGGUCGCAAGAUUAAAACUCAAAUGAAUUGGCGGGG